GGGAAGAGUCUGCAGAGCCUUUGCCCGCCAGCGCCUUCGCUCUUUGGCUCCCUGAGUUAGUCCGGUUGUUUGCGAUCGCCGCGGCCGGGGCUGCGAACCGAAGGGCUCGCUCCGCGCCGCCUGGGUCUCUACCUCAUCCGUAGGUGUGGCCCUGAUGGUGUGGCAGGCUCUGGACUCCUAAAGCUCUGGAGCGAAUUUAAGAUUUUAUUCAUGUGCAUGGCAUAGAAGAUGAAUUCUUCCACUUCCACCAUGAGUGAAGAGCCUGACGCUCUAUCGGUAGUUAACCAGUUACGGGAUCUAGCAGCAGAUCCGUUAAACAGAAGAGCCAUCGUCCAGGAUCAGGGAUGUCUGCCUGGCCUUAUUUUAUUUAUGGACCAUCCCAACCCUCCAGUCGUCCACUCCGCUUUGCUUAACUACAACUCCAGGAGAAACAAAACUUCUGGCCUCUGAAAUCUAUGACAUUCUUCAGUCCUCCAAUAUGGCAGAUGGUGAUAGUUUUAAUGAGAU
rnacentral:sRNA from 1 species